rnacentral:rRNA from 1 species
GGGAUAACAGCUGGAAACGGCUGCUAAUACCGCAUAAGCGCACAGAGCUGCAUGGCUCGGUGUGAAAAACUCCGGUGGUAUGGGAUGGGCCCGCGUCUGAUUAGGCAGUUGGCGGGGUAACGGCCCACCAAACCGACGAUCAGUAGCCGGCCUGAGAGGGCGACCGGCCACAUUGGGACUGAGACACGGCCCAAACUCCUACGGGAGGCAGCAGUGGGGAAUAUUGCACAAUGGGGGAAACCCUGAUGCAGCGACGCCGCGUGAGCGAAGAAGUAUUUCGGUAUGUAAAGCUCUAUCAGCAGGGAAGAUAAUGACGGUACCUGACUAAGAAGCCCCGGCUAACUACGUGCCAGCAGCCGCGGUAAUACGUAGGGGGCAAGCGUUAUCCGGAUUUACUGGGUGUAAAGGGAGCGUAGACGGCAAGGCAAGUCUGAUGUGAAAACCCAGGGCUUAACCCUGGGACUGCAUUGGAAACUGUCUGGCUCGAGUGCCGGAGAGGUAAGCGGAAUUCCUAGUGUAGCGGUGAAAUGCGUAGAUAUUAGGAAGAACACCAGUGGCGAAGGCGGCUUACUGGACGGUAACUGACGUUGAGGCUCGAAAGCGUGGGGAGCAAACAGGAUUAGAUACCCUGGUAGUCCACGCCGUAAACGA